rnacentral:rRNA from 1 species
UACGAAGGGGGGCUAGCGUUGCUCGGAAUCACUGGGCGUAAAGCGCACGUAGGCGGAUUGUUAAGUCAGGGGUGAAAUCCUGGAGCUCAACUCCAGAACUGCCUUUGAUACUGGCGAUCUUGAGUCCGGGAGAGGUGAGUGGAACUCCGAGUGUAGAGGUGAAAUUCGUAGAUAUUCGGAAGAACACCAGUGGCGAAGGCGGCUCACUGGCCCGGUACUGACGCUGAGGUGCGAAAGCGUGGGGAGCAAACAGG